CUGUUAAAUGAUUGAUCCCGCCU
rnacentral:piRNA from 1 species